AUUGAACGCUGGCGGCGUGCUUAACACAUGCAAGUCGAUCGGUAACAGGUGUAGCAAUACAUGCUGACGAGAGGCGGACGGGUGAGUAAUGCUUGGGAAUCUGCCUAUUAGUGGGGGACAACCCGGGGAAACUCGGGCUAAUACCGCAUACGCUCUACGGAGGAAAGCCGGGGACCGCAAGGCCUGGCGCUAAUAGAUGAGCCCAAGUCGGAUUAGCUAGUUGGUAGGGUAACGGCCUACCAAGGCGACAAUCCGUAGCUGGUCUGAGAGGACGACCAGCCACACCGGAACUGAGACACGGUCCGACUCCUACGGGAGGCAGCGAGUGGGGAAUAUUGGACAAUGGGGGCAACCCUGAUCCAGCGACGCCGCGUGGGUGAAGAAGGCCUGCGGGUUGUAAA
rnacentral:rRNA from 1 species